GCUGUCCCGGACGGUUGGGUCCAGGGGAGCCUUUCCUUCACUGGCCCGCCUGCUAUGACGAUCAUGUACAGCUGCAUUGCUAAUGGCCGAGCGGUCCUAGCGGAGCUGACACUGACUGGAGGUCCUUACCAGCUAUGUUUGCCAUACUGUCUUUAUUGAUGGAAUCACUUAUGUAUGUGCUACAGACAAUGCUUUGGAUUCUGUGACACCAUCUGCAUUUCUUAAAAACAUGAAAUACAAUAAAAAUCAAGGUGACCACACCAUUUCCACAAUGAGCCGUCAAGUGACUGAUGUAAAAAAUGUUAUGACACAAAAUAUUGAUAAAAUUUUGGAAAAAGAAGAAAGAUUGAAUACCUUCCUUGAUAGAACAGAUGAUCUUCAAACAACUGUUCAUCAGCCAAGGAAGUCCAGAAGAGCUGCAGAAGCAAAAGUAGGGAGUUCCCUGAGGGUGCCGAGGCAAACUUCGAGAAAGGGCACUCCUUCUAUCAUGGUUGAUGGCUGUCUCUACUCCCCACGAGCCUGGCCACAUCACACUCCUCUUUAUAUUCAGUAUGCCCAGCACAUGGAGGAGAGUAAGACACCUCUGGUAAGUCUGACCAGCUUGAGAAAACAAAACAAGGAAAUGUAUCAAGUGAUUUCUCAAUAAAAUGACACAGCCAUAUCACCCAACAGUGAAGCCAGUGAUUGAAAAGCACCCUGCCAGACCCACACACAUAACAUUCAAUUAGCAUUUAAAAUGUUCCACUCUUAAAUAUGACCCAAGGAUCACCAAACACCUGAAGAAAUUUUCUAACAUGAAAACCAGAAGCCAAAGCAACAGGAAAACAAAGCAUCUUGGAAACAAACUUUUAAACAGGUUAUCAUUAACCUUAGAGAUGAGAAAAAGGUAUGUUGAUAUUUAUUUAUAACACA